AAUGACCUCUUCUGCUCAGUGUUGCCAACUCUUUUCCAAUAAGAGUAGCUAGCACUAGCUCCAAAAGCCGCUAAAAGUCGCUAGAU